rnacentral:rRNA from 1 species
GACGAACGCUGGCGGCGUGCUUAACACAUGCAAGUCGAACGGUGAAAGCGGAGCUUGCUCCGCUGGAUCAGUGGCGAACGGGUGAGUAACGCGUGGGCAACCUGCCCCUCACUUCGGGAUAACUCCGGGAAACCGGGGCUAAUACCGGAUAUGACCUCCUUGGGCAUCCUUGGAGGUGGAAAGUUUUUCGGUGAGGGAUGGGCCCGCGGCCUAUCAGCUUGUUGGUGAGGUAGUGGCUCACCAAGGCGACGACGGGUAGCCGGCCUGAGAGGGCGACCGGCCGUACGGGGAGUGCGACACGGCCCAGGCUCCUACGGGAGGCAGCAGUGGGGAAUAUUGCGCAAUGGGCGAAAGCCUGACGCAGCAACGCCGCGUGCGGGAUGACGGCCUUCGGGUUGUAAACCGCUUUCAGCAGGGAAGAAGCCGCAAGGUGACGGUACCUGCAGAAGAAGCACCGGCUAACUACGUGCCAGCAGCCGCAGUAA